UACGGAGGGUGCAAGCGUUGUCCGGAUUUAUUGGGUUUAAAGGGUGCGUAGGCGGCCCGUUAAGUCAGUGGUGAAAGCCUCCAGCUCAACUGGAGAACUGCCAUUGAUACUGGCGGGCUUGAGUACAGACGAGGUUGGCGGAAUUGAUUGUGUAGCGGUGAAAUGCAUAGAUACUAUCAAGAACACCGAUUGCGUAGGCAGCUAACUAGGCUGUAACUGACGCUGAGGCACGAAAGCGUGGGGAGCGAACAGG
rnacentral:rRNA from 1 species